AUGGAGAAGCACACGGCCCCCGUCCGCGCGGUCACGCUGCUCCUCCUCAUAUGCAUCCUCGCUACCCAGGCGCGAUGCCGGGCCAUGGACGAUGGCAGCGAGAAGAUCAGUUUGCCCUACGGGCUGUGCGUCUAUGAUAAGAGGUCAUUUGCGUGCAAGGGCGAGCGCUGCUACUGCUGUCGCGUGGCCGUGGAAGUUUGCUAUUUGUCGAUGGACGAGUGCAUGAAGGAGUGCGUCAAGAAAAUGGGCGGCGGUGGCAACGCCUCUCCGAUAGCUUAG
rnacentral:rRNA from 1 species